rnacentral:rRNA from 1 species
CAGUCGCCGCGGUAAUACGUAGGGUGCAAGCGUUAAUCGGAAUUACUGGGCGUAAAGCGUGCGCAGGCGGUUAUAUAAGACAGAUGUGAAAUCCCCGGGCUCAACCUGGGAACUGCAUUUGUGACUGUAUAGCUAGAGUACGGCAGAGGGGGAUGGAAUUCCGCGUGUAGCAGUGAAAUGCGUAGAUAUGCGGAGGAACACCGAUGGCGAAGGCAAUCCCCUGGGCCUGUACUGACGCUCAUGCACGAAAGCGUGGGGAGCAAACAGGAUUAGAGACCCGCGUAGUCCCUGUCUCUUAUAC